AUCCAGCUGACGAGUCCUAGAUAGGACAAAACGCACUUCCUGGAU
rfam:Schistosoma mansoni strain Puerto Rico chromosome 5, complete genome